ACCGGGGGCUAAUGCCGGAUAACAUGUUGAACCGCAUGGUUCUACAGUGAAAGGCGGCUUUGCUGUCACUUAUAGAUGGACCCGCGCCGUAUUAGCUAGUUGGUGAGGUGACGGCUCACCAAGGCAACGAUACGUAGCCGACCUGAGAGGGUGAUCGGCCACACUGGAACUGAGACACGGUCCAG
rnacentral:rRNA from 1 species